rnacentral:rRNA from 1 species
AAGUAUCUUCGGAUAUGAGUAGAGCGGCGGACGGGUGAGUAACGCGUAGGAAUCUACCUAGUAGAAGGGGAUAGCCCGAGGAAACUCGGAUUAAUACCGUAUACCUCCUUCGGGAGAAAGAAGGCCUCUCUUUGAAGCUUUCGCUAUUAGAUGAGCCUGCGUAAGAUUAGCUUGUUGGUGAGGUAAAGGCUCACCAAGGCGACGAUCUUUAGCGGGUCUGAGAGGACGAUCCGCCACAUUGGGACUGAGACACGGCCCAGACUCCUACGGGAGGCAGCAGUGGGGAAUAUUGGACAAUGGGCGCAAGCCUGAUCCAGCCAUACCGCGUGUGUGAAGAAGGCCCUAGGGUUGUAAAGCACUUUAAGUUGGGAAGAAAAGUUAUUGGUUAAUACCCAAUGACCGUGACAUUACCUUCGGAAUAAGGACCGGCUAAUUCCGUGCCAGCAGCCGCGGUAAUACGGAGGGUCCAAGCGUUAAUCGGAAUUACUGGGCGUAAAGCGCGCGUAGGUGGUUUAUUAAGUUGGAUGUGAAAUCCCCGGGCUCAACCUGGGAACUGCAUCCAAAACUAAUUCACUAGAGUACGAUAGAGGGAGGUAGAAUUCACAGUGUAGCGGUGGAAUGCGUAGAUAUUGUGAAGAAUACCAAUGGCGAAGGCAGCCUCCUGGAUCUGUACUGACACUGAGGUGCGAAAGCGUGGGUAGCGAACAGGAUUAGAUACCCUGGUAGUCCACGCCGUAAACGAUGUCAACUAGCUGUUGGAAAACUAUGUUUUUCAGUGGCGCAGCUAACGUAGUAAGUUGACCGCCUGGGGGAGUACGGCCGCAAGGCUAAAACUCAAAUGAAUUGACGGGGACCCGCACAAGCGGUGGAACCAUGUGGGUUUAAUUCGAUGCAACGCGAAAAACCUUACCUAUACUUGACAUACUUGGAAUACUUUGGUAAUGAAGUAGUGCCUUCGGGAACCAAGAUACAGGUGCUGCAUGGCUGUCGUCAGCUCGU